rnacentral:rRNA from 1 species
AGUGAACGCUGGCGGUAGGCCUAACACAUGCAAGUCGAACGGCAGCACAGUAAGAGCUUGCUCUUACGGGUGGCGAGUGGCGGACGGGUGAGGAAUACAUCGGAAUCUACUUUUUCGUGGGGGAUAACGUAGGGAAACUUACGCUAAUACCGCAUACGACCUACGGGUGAAAGCAGGGGAUCUUCGGACCUUGCGCUAUUGAAUGAGCCGAUGUCGGAUUAGCUAGUUGGCGGGGUAAAGGCCCACCAAGGCGACGAUCCGUAGCUGGUCUGAGAGGAUGAUCAGCCACACUGGAACUGAGACACGGUACAGACUCCGACGGGAGGAAGCAGUGGGGAAUAUUGGACAAUGGGGGAAAGCCUGAUCCAGCCAUACCGCGUGGGUGAAGAAGGCCUUAGGGUUGGAAAGCCCUUUUGUUGGGAAAGAAAAGCAGUAGGUUAAUACCCCGCUGUUAUGACGGUACCCAAAGAAGAAGCACCGGCUAACUUCGUG